rnacentral:rRNA from 1 species
AGAGUUUGAUCAUGGCUCAGGACGAACGCUGGCGGCGCGCUUCAUCCAUGCAAGUCGAACGAGCCCGGGACUUCGGUCCCAAUGGGAAAGUGGCGAACGGGUGAGUAACACGUGAGAAACCUACCCCGGAGAUGGGAAUAGCCCAGGGAAACCUGGAUUAAUACCCAAUACCCUGCUUGCACCUCAUGGUGCGCUCAGGAAAUGCUUUUGUGCUCCGGGAGGGUCUCGCGGCCUAUCAGCUUGUUGGUGAGGUAAUGGCUCACCAAGGCAUCGACGGGUAGCUGGUCUGAGAGGACGAUCAGCCACACUGGGACUGAGACACGGCCCAGACUCCUACGGGAGGCAGCAGGAGGGAAUAUUGCGCAAUGGGCGAAAGCCUGACGCAGCGACGCCGCGUGGGGGAAGAAGGCCUUCGGGUCGUAAACCCCUUUCAGCAGGGACGAAAUUGACGGUACCUGCAGAAGAAGCGCCGGCCAACUACGUGCCAGCAGCCGCGGUAAUACGUAGGGCGCAAGCGUUGUCCGGAUUCAUUGGGCGUAAAGGGCUCGUAGGCGGUUUGGUAAGUCGGGUGUGAAAACUCAGGGCUCAACUCUGAGACGCCACUCGAUACUGCCAUGACUAGAGUCCGGUAGGGGAGUGUAGAAUUCCUGG